AUGUUCAAAAUAAAUUUGCCAUGGUGUAAAAAAGGAAUUUGCCAUGAUUUGUUCAACAAAUGUUUACAAAUUACCAUGGCUUAUUCAAUAAAUGUGCCAUGUUCAAAAAAACAUUUAUUGACCAUGGUACAAAAAAUAAAUUUGCCAUGGUUUAAAUCUAAAUUUGGCAUAGUCCAAUAUAAAAUUUGCCAUGGGACAAAAAAUAAUUUUUUCCAUGGUCAAAAUAUAAAUUACCAUGGCAGAAACGAAAACAAUAUACCAUGUGCUGUGUUUGUUGCUUUCUCUGCCCUGCUUUGCUUCUUUGCCUUGCUCUAG
rnacentral:rRNA from 1 species